rnacentral:rRNA from 1 species
GAUGAACGCUGGCGGCGUGCCUAAUACAUGCAAGUCGAGCGAACAGAUGCGGCGCUUGCUCCUCUGACGUUAGCGGCGGACGUGUGAGUCACAUGUGUAUAACCUACCUAUAAGACUGGUAUCACUUCGGGAAACCGGCGCUUAUACCGUAUAAUCUAUUGAACCGCAUGGUUCAUUAGUGAAAGACGGUUUUGCUGUCACUUAUAGCUGGUUCCGCGCCGAAUUAGCUAGUUGGUAAUGUAACGGCUUACCAAGGCAACGAUGCGUAGCCGACCUGAGAGAGUGAUAGGCCGCACUGGAGCUGGGACACGGUCCAGACUCCUAAGGGAGGGAGCAGAAGCGAAUGUGCGGCAGUAGGCGGGAGCAUGACGGAGCAACGCGGAGUGAGAGAUGAAGGUCUUGGGAGCGUGAAAAUGUGUUAUUAGGGAAGAACAAAUGUGGAAGUAAAUAUACAGGGAUUGACGGUACCUGAUCAGAAAGCAACGGCUAACUACGUG